UUGACCUCGGAUCAGGUAGGAAUACCCGCUGAACUUAAGCAUAUCAAUAAGCGGAGGAAAAGAAACCAACAGGGAUUGCCUCAGUAACGGCGAGUGAAGCGGCAACAGCUCAAAUUUGAAAUCUGGCCUCUUCGGGGUCCGAGUUGUAAUUUGUAGAGGAUGUUUCGGGUACCGCCUCGGUUUAAAUUUCUUGGAACAGAAUGUCAGAGAGGGUGAGAAUCCCGUCUUGGACCGGCGGUAGGGCCCAUGUGAAACUCCUUCGACGAGUCGAGUUGUUUGGGAAUGCAGCUCAAAAUGGGUGGUAAAUUUCAUCUAAAGCUAAAUAUUGGCCAGAGACCGAUAGCGCACAAGUAGAGUGAUCGAAAGAUGAAAAGAACUUUGAAAAGAGAGUUAAACAGUAUGUGAAAUUGUUGAAAGGGAAGCGCUUACAACCAGACUUGAGCGCGGCGGUUCCCCCUUCCUUUUGGUUGGGUUACUCCGCCGUGUCCAGGCCAACAUCGGUUCUGGGGGUCGGUUAAAGGCCUGGGGAAUGUAUCUACUCCUUCGGGGGUAGACUUAUAGCCCCGGGUGUCAUGCGACCACCCGGGACCGAGGAACGCGCUUCGGCUCGGAUGUUGGCGUAAUGGUUGUCAGCGACCCGUCUUGAAACACGGACCAAGGAGUCUAACAUCUAUGCGAGUGUUUGGGUGUCAAACCCGGAACGCGAAAUGAAAGUGAACGGAGGUAGGAAGCCUUUAGGCUGCACUAUCGACCGAUCCUGAUGUCUUCGGAUGGAUUUGAGUAAGAGCAUAGCUGUUGGGACCCGAAAGAUGGUGAACUAUGCCUGAAUAGGGUGAAGCCAGAGGAAACUCUGGUGGAGGCUCGCAGCGGUUCUGACGUGCAAAUCGAUCGUCAAAUUUGGGUAUAGGGGCG
rnacentral:rRNA from 2 species